UACGUAGGGGGCAAGCGUUGUCCGGAUUUAUUGGGCGUAAAGAGCGUGUAGGCGGCUAGGUAGGUCCGUUGUGAAAACUCGAGGCUCAACCUCGAGACGUCGAUGGAAACCAUCUAGCUAGAGUCCGGAAGAGGAGAGUGGAAUUCCUGGUGUAGCGGUGAAAUGCGCAGAUAUCAGGAAGAACACGCGUGGCGAAGGCGGCUCUCUGGUACGUGACUGACGCUGAGACGCGAAAGCGUGGGGAGCGAACAGG
rnacentral:rRNA from 1 species